AACCAGACUCCUACGGGAGGCAGCAGUGGGGAAUAUUGCACAAUGGGGGAAACCCUGAUGCAGCAACGCCGCGUGAAGGAAGACGGUUUUCGGAUUGUAAACUUCUGUUCUUAGUGAAGAAGAAUGACGGUAGCUAAGGAGCAAGCCACGGCUAACUACGUGCCAGCAGCCGCGGUAAUACGUAGGGAGCAAGCGUUGUCCGGAAUUACUGGGUGUAAAGGGAGCGUAGGCGGGAGGAUAAGUUGAAUGUGAAAUCUAUGGGCUCAACCUAUAGCUGCGUUCAAAACUGUUCUUCUUGAGUGAAGUAGAGGCAGGCGGAAUUCCUAGUGUAGCGGUGAAAUGCGUAGAUAUUAGGAGGAACACCAGUGGCGAAGGCGGCCUGCUGGGCUUUUACUGACGCUGAGGCUCGAAAGCGUGGGUAGCAAACAGGAUUAGAUACCCCGGUAGCA
rnacentral:rRNA from 1 species